rnacentral:hammerhead_ribozyme from 15 species
CAGGCGUCUAAGGUAGGCUCCCACUACAUUACCUUACUGAUGAGUCCAGUAGUGGACGAAACGCCAA